UGAUCUCUCAGCGUAUUUCCUGUAAUUCUUCUCAGUACUCUCAUCUCUGCCGUUUCCAGUAGUGAGUUGUGUCUGAUCUUGUUUCUGAUACCUACAUAUGUAGAUAAUUAUUGGUCUUUCGCUGGCUUUAUAAAUUCUUGACUUUCUGUUUCUACGAGCUGUAUGAUUAAGUCUAUAAGUAGGGUGCUAACCUGGCUGUAGACCCCCUCUUCCUUUUUCCGGGCUUGGGGCCGACAACAGUUAUGUCGAGCUACUUGAUCCACCCAACAAAACUGCGGGCCGAGUUUAGAAUAAAAUAGAAUUUAUAAAGCAGUUAUGGGUAAUUCCAGCAAAAAUGGCCCUCCCAUUAUAAAAUUAAAAGUUCUAAUAAAAUGGUUUAACAUCAAUUUUCCACUACAGAAAAGUGUAAUCUUUCAAUAACUGAAUGAUUUUUUUUACUUGAUUUUUUUUUAAAUAUUUUACAGCAAUUUUAAAAUUACUAGCUGGUUGGUAGGGAGUUAGGGAUUUUUUGUUUACUUUAACAGGGUUGGUAAUGGAACACUGGAAACAGCUGAUAUUGAUUGUUGUUCUGAAAUAGUGAAGAGCAAAGCUUUAACAACAACUCCACAUUGUUAUUGUUUCUAAUAUGGCUCCAGUCAAGGAUCGUGUAAAAAAACAUAGAGAGAAAACAAAAAAGAUCCAGAGAAGUGGGAGGCUCUCAAAAAGAAAGAAAGGGAAAGAGACAAGUUACGAAGAUUGAAGAAAAAGGAAAUCUUAAAAACUAAUCCCCAAUUGCAGCAACAGGUCAGAAAUAAAGUAAAUGACAGAGUCAAAGCUCACAGGGAGAGAAAGAAACUUCUUGCAUCUGCUGAAUCAACGAGUAAACCAACGGAAUCACCAAUAGGAACUUACAAUUCCCCUCGGACUUUUGGAAAAGCUGUGAACAAAGUUAAACGUAGCCUCCCAAAUAGCCCACACAAGAAAACUGCAGUCCUAAAAAAACUUGUAAGUGAUGUAAUUGGCAUUGAGUCUUUGGUUUCAAGCACAC
rnacentral:lncRNA from 1 species